CUGAUCCACACCUGAGACGUCUUGAACCUAAGGACCUCACAGUUAAGAGAUGUUGGACUUCUAAUGAGCUGAAUUGUUAAAAACUGUGGGAACUUUAAAGUUAGACAGAGUACAUUUUAUUUUAUAACGUAGUCCUUAAACUACCUGGACAAUUAAUGGAAAAGUGUGGCUUAAAGUGUUUGAGUCUCAAGGUGCAAAAGGGUGGAGUUGUGAUGGUGAGUGCUAAUUGUUAACUCUACAGAAUCUAGAAUAACAUGACAGAUCGGCCAUUGGACAUGCUUCUUACUUUAACGGCAUUAAUUGAAAUUGUGUGGCCCAACUACUUUGGGUGAUGCCAUUUCUGACUGAAAUCCUGGACUGUAUGUAUGGAGAAAGGGAAUGGAAUGGCAAUAUGCACUCAUUGAUGUCUGAUUCCUAAAGGUGGGUACAGUGUGACCAGUUACUUCCAGCUUCUGCUGUAGUGACUUUUCUAUGCACUGCAAGCUACACUAAGUUCUUACCCAAUUAACUUUCUUUUGUCGUGUUAUUUUAGCACAAUAACAGGAAAAGGAAUUAAUAUAAUAUCAAGAUAGUGUCCUCUGGAUUCUAGGGCACAGAUGACCAGGAUGUUUGCAGUGAGAUGGUAUCAUCUAUGUAUAACAGAGAGUUACAUUUAUGAACUCUCAACAAAUGGUCUCCAAAGGAGAUGUGGGACAUUUCAGAAAGCUCCAACCUUAAGUGAAGAUGUACAGACAACUAAUAAAAGAAUGAGAAUCAUCCUUUGCUGACCUCCUAUUUUUUGUCUAUUCACAUGACUGCCUCUUGUCUGUAUGCUUCUGAUUUUUAUAUUGCCUGUCUCUGCUCUCUUAUCAAUUUCUCUUAGUUAAAAUAGCUUUGCUGUUAGAAAUAAAAGAUUCUUUCAUGAGAGGUGUGACCACCACUAACCUGUGGGUAUUUAGGAUGAAGUUAGGAAUUGGGAUGGUAUAGAAAGCAGCAAUACUAUGGACUCUUUAACAGCCAUGAACUCACUAGCCUUGGGACAGCAUCUGGCUCCUUUUCCAGUACUAGGUCUGACUUCUGUCAUCUUGAGUAGGCAUUACAUCUAAUUAUAUAGCUGUUAGUUACUGCCAAGAUGUGAAUGCCACAGUUGCACCCUUAGGGAUAUUGUACCAUCUUGGUCAUUGUUGUGGUUCAUAUUUCAGGGAACAUAGAAGAAGAGAGGUUAGGAAGACUGGAGAACCAGAGGAC
rnacentral:lncRNA from 1 species